AACGAACGCUGGCGGCAGGCCUAACACAUGCAAGUCGAACGCUGUAGCAAUACAGAGUGGCAGACGGGUGAGUAACGCGUGGGAACAUGCCCUUCGGUUCGGAAUAACUCAGGGAAACUUGAGCUAAUACCGGAUACGCCCUUAGGGGGAAAGAUUUAUUGCCGAAGGAUUGGCCCGCGUCCGAUUAGCUAGUUGGUGAGGUAACGGCUCACCAAGGCGACGAUCGGUAGCUGGUCUGAGAGGAUGAUCAGCCACACUGGGACUGAGACACGGCCCAGACUCCUACGGGAGGCAGCAGUGGGGAAUAUUGGACAAUGGGCGCAAGCCUGAUCCAGCCAUGCCGCGUGAGUGAUGAAGGCCCUAGGGUUGUAAAGCUCUUUCGCCAGGGACGAUAAUGACGGUACCUGGAUAAGAAGCCCCGGCUAACUUCGUGCCAGCCGCCGCAGUAAAAC
rnacentral:rRNA from 1 species